rfam:Ixodes scapularis strain Wikel colony gcontig_1107729064524, whole genome shotgun sequence.
CCCUGGUUUGCCCAGUUGGUAGAGCGCUCCACUGGAAAUGGGGAGGUCCCGGGUUCGACACCCGCACCAGGCG